rnacentral:rRNA from 1 species
AUUGAACGCUGGCGGCAGGCCUAACACAUGCAAGUCGAGCGGUAACAGGGGUAGCUUGCUACCCGCUGACGAGCGGCGGACGGGUGAGUAAUGCAUAGGAAUCUGCCCGAUAGUGGGGGAUAACCUGGGGAAACCCAGGCUAAUACCGCAUACGUCCUACGGGAGAAAGGGGGCUCCGGCUCCCGCUAUCGGAUGAGCCUAUGUCGGAUUAGCUGGUUGGUGAGGUAACGGCUCACCAAGGCGACGAUCCGUAGCUGGUCUGAGAGGAUGAUCAGCCACAUCGGGACUGAGACACGGCCCGAACUCCUACGGGAGGCAGCAGUGGGGAAUAUUGGACAAUGGGGGGAACCCUGAUCCAGCCAUGCCGCGUGUGUGAAGAAGGCCCUCGGGUUGUAAAGCACUUUCAGUGAGGAAGAACGCCUGGUGGUUAAUACCCAUCAGGAAAGACAUCACUCACAGAAGAAGCACCGGCUAACUCCGUGCCAGCAGCCGCGGUAAUACGGAGGGUGCGAGCGUUAAUCGGAAUUACUGGGCGUAAAGCGCGCGUAGGUGGCUUGAUAAGCCGGUUGUGAAAGCCCCGGGCUCAACCUGGGAACGGCAUCCGGAACUGUCAAGCUAGAGUGCAGGAGAGGAAGGUAGAAUUCCCGGUGUAGCGGUGAAAUGCGUAGAGAUCGGGAGGAAUACCAGUGGCGAAGGCGGCCUUCUGGACUGACACUGACACUGAGGUGCGAAAGCGUGGGUAGCAAACAGG